rnacentral:rRNA from 1 species
CCUACGGGGGGCAGCAGUGAGGAAUAUUGGUCAAUGGACGAGAGUCUGAACCAGCCAAGUAGCGUGAAGGAUGACUGCCCUAUGGGUUGUAAACUUCUUUUAUAUGGGAAUAAAAUGUUCCACGUGUGGGAUUUUGUAUGUACCAUAUGAAUAAGGAUCGGCUAACUCCGUGCCAGCAGCCGCGGUAAUACGGAGGAUCCGAGCGUUAUCCGGAUUUAUUGGGUUUAAAGGGAGCGUAGGUGGAUUGUUAAGUCGGUUGUGAAAGUUUGCGGCUCAACCGAAAAAUUGCAGUUGAAACUGGCAGUCUUGAGUACAGUAGAGGUGGGCGGAAUUCGUGGUGUAGCGGUGAAAUGCUUAGAUAUCACGAAGAACUCCGAUUGCGAAGGCAGUUCACUGGACUGCAACUGACACUGAGGCUCGAAAGUGUGGGUAUCAAACAGGAUUAGAUACCCCAGUAGUC